rnacentral:rRNA from 1 species
CAGUAGCCGCGGUAAUACGUAGGGUGCGAGCGUUGUCCAGAAUUACUGGGCGUAAAGAGCUCGUAGGCGGUUUGUCGCGUCGUCUGUGAAAUUCUGCAGCUUAACUGUAGGCGUGCAGGCGAUACGGGCAGACUUGAGUACUACAGGGGAGACUGGAAUUCCUGGUGUAGCGGUGAAAUGCGCAGAUAUCAGGAGGAGCACCGGUGGCGAAGGCGGGUCUCUGGGUAGUAACUGACGCUGAGGAGCGAAAGCGUGGGUAGCGAACAGGAUUAGAUACCCGUGUAGUCCCUGUCUCUUAUAC